GCGGCGCAGGUGCGGGACGGAGAGAGCAGGGAGACAAGUCAGGCGUGGAAAAGGCACGUCUGAAACGGAUGGCAACAACUUCUACAGCUGGCGGGACAUGGCCCAGCGCGACCCACAGCCUCCAGGCCUCGCCCCCGCCGCCACCGCCGCGCUUGCCGGGCUCAAAGGCUCCCGCGCGCUGGCGCGCAGGACCGACUGAGGAGGCCCGGGGCCGCGCGAGCGGCAGUUUCGCUGCGCCCCCACCGGGCCCCGCCCCCGGAGCCCCGCUCUGCUCCGCCCCGGGCGGAGGCCCCGCCCCCGAGGCUCUCCCGCGUUGGUCCCGCCCCCGAGGCCCCGCCCCGCGGGUCAGGCUCCAGCUGCGCCAAUGGGAUUUUAUUUUAUUCUUCAAUUUGUCGUGAUUGUAAACCACGUGAGGAAACCUCUGCAUUGUGACCAGGGGGUCACGUGAUUUCUUUCACCUUGUUAACCGCUCUGGGGAGAUGAGUUUUCCAGGGGAAGAAGGGUAACUUUUUGAUCUGGUACUUCCGCAGUCUGUCUGAUGGCAGAAACUAUGGGAGCCCAUUAGUGACGGGCAUGGAGAAAUGCGUUAGGGGGUAAGACUCGAGGAGUGAACUGGUUUCACGUGUGGCAAACGUUGUGCCUCACCCGUGAUGAUUGAGGGGCUGGAUCUUAAGCGGGCACUUAGGAAUCAUUGCGUUCUCUUGGGCACUCGGUUUUCGCUCUUGAAAGUUGCCAGGCAAAGCAUUUUCGGUUAUUUUGUUCUGCUCUGCGACGGGAAAGCUAAAAGAAGAAGAAGAAAAAGAUCUAAAGUGAGGAUUGUCGUGGGAGGUCCUGAAAAUUUGGUGUGGAGGCGUAGAGAGUAAAUUUAAGUCAGCUUGCGUUGAAAUGAAAUACCCAUGUAGAGUGUCGACCUCAGUGCCUGGUGCGUGACAGGCACUCAGCAAGUUUACUUGCCACCAAGUGGACAGUGGUUUGUUGAGUGGUGCUAUUCAGUUCCAAGGACCGGAGGACACCACCAGAAUCACCACUUCAAGGCCCAAGUGCACCCAGAGAGCUCAGUUAGAUGAAGAAAAGCCUCUUGCUUGGCUCUUGAAGAACUUUAACAAAUGCCAUGAGCCAGUCAAUCCCACCAGCUGGAACUAAACGCCACCCGGUCCAGCGGCACCACGCCUGGAGUCCUUCCCCUGAGAAACUAGAAGGAAAAACCAAGCAAACCUCAACAAUAUUCUCAGCUUAACUUGGCAUACAGUGACUUUGGCUUUCCCAGAUAUCGAAUUUACACAGAAGAUAAAGAAGAGUUGCCGUCAUUUCAGGCUCCUGCUGCUGCUGAGACGACACUGACCAGAAUGGUAACACUGUAAGCAUUUUACAGACUGCUGCCUGAAUUGGCUUUGACGUGAUGGGGAAGGCCUGGUUACAGCUGCGGGCCUCUUCUUUUUUCCGAAUCUAACUCAUGCCAAAAGAAAAAUGUUAAUUACACAGAUUUUGGCAAGCACAGGUAAAUGAGAGAAAGUAGGUUCGUAAUUUUCACAACCCCAUCUUCUAAAGACCGCUGUCCAUGUUUUCUGCAUACGUUUCCAGUUUUUUCCGAUGCAUGUAUGUGAUUUUUUUCACUGGCACGAACGCAGUCACACUGAACCUGAAAUUCCACAGUCGAACUUCAUUUAAUGUUGUUCUGUGAGCGAGUCGUGGCACCCGUGACUUACUCCCAUGCCUCUCUGUGGAUCUUCCUACCCCGGAAACGGCCUUUCUGCUUGAUCUCCUGCCCCCCUGUCAUAGUCAGAGCUGGCUUCUUCAUCCCCCUUCCUCAUGUGAGUCCUUAUUCUCUCUCUCUGUUGAACUCCGGAGACAGCUCCUCCCUGAGACCCACCACGCAAAGACCCUUCAGUGCCAAGUGGGGCUCUUGUCCAGGGUCGUCCUCCAACCCAGAGUCUUCUGACUCUGCCAAGAUCCCGUUUGCAUCUUUGGACUGGCGGACGUGGAUGCCCGGACUAGAUGUUGAUGGUCACCAGGAGCCUUAUCCCUCCAGAUCUUUCCACCACUGGCUGCUGUGGGUGGAACAUCUCCCCUUGUUCUGGUCCCUGGGGCCCAGCCCCAGUCUCCUUGGUCAGUGCCCUGGUUUGGUCACUGACUCCCCGUAAGAAAGAAUUGGAGUAUCAGGAGUCUUUGCAAUGGCCCCUGGAUGUCCAUCGAUUUCUCACCUGAUCAAUUCUGCCCACUGUUGUCAGUGACCUGCCUCCCACACGGGCUGGAUCAGGUUACAUUCCUCUUCAGAGUCUCCCACGGCACCAGCAAGACAAAGCUAACCCCAUGGCAUGCCAGCAGGGCCCUGUGAGCUCUGCCCCUGUCCGUGCUCCAUCCACGGCCCUCCCGGCUCCCCGCCACCGCCCCCCCCCGCAUCCCCNCCCCCCACCCUUACCCCAAGUGGUCUGCUCCUGCCUCCACCUGCCCUGUGCUUCCCCAGCCUCCUGACCUGCUGAAAUCCUCCUUGGUCUUCAAACUCAGCUCAAAGUCCACCCCAUCCCUGCCGCCUCUCCCCUUCUCCUCUGGGAGUCACUCCGUCCUCUGCGGUUUUAGCCCUCUCUUCCAUUCUUGUGGGCCGCUUACCUGUCUACCCCUCAUCUCUUGCCUGGGAUCUCUUGCCUCUCCUACACUGGGGCUGCCACUUCAGCCCAACGCGCAGAGCCAGGAUAGGUCCGCACAGCACCUCUCUUACUUCCCAUCCCCCACCAUGGCUGGACCUCUGUGCCACAGUUGCCACAUCUAUAAAAUGGGUGUAAUACUUGUGCCUCCUUUAGACAGCACUACGAGAAGGAAAAGAUAAGAUGCGACUCUUUAUGAAUCUCUCUCCCUCAUGAAUAUAUAACUCUGUUAGGGGCAGGAAUCACAGCACAUUUGUCUUGGUCUCUCCACCCCCCCAACUCCAUGGUACCUUCCCCCUCUGUCCCCCCGCCACUGCCAUGCUUGGUAUGCAGAAGCCACUCAAUAAAUGACCACGGAACUGGGCUGUCAUGUGCUCCCUGCGUGAAGGACCCUUCCUGUAUUCUCAUGGGACCUGGCAUAUUUUAGCCACUCAGUAAAUGUGCUCUGGAUUGAACAUUCCCCAGGAACUUGAAAACAUGUCCUCACUUAUUUUUCAUGUGUCGGCGUGCUGUGGCCAACUGCUGACUCACGCUGGCUUCCGUGCACCCUGGAGGAGCAAAGAAAAGUGGCAUGAAGGGAAACGGGGGCCAUAUGCCCAGCAGAUCUUCCCUGAGACACUCGGCAUCUGUAAUUAUUCACCGUUUGCAGGGAAAAGAUGGCAUUCUAAUUUACGCACUUGGCAUUCUCGUUCUUGCCGUGCCCAAAACCCUUCUGCCCAGCGUCACUUGAUAGCCACACACCUCAGGGGCUGCUUUUGACCUA